rnacentral:rRNA from 1 species
CUCUGCGCAGGCUCUCCAUGCAAGUCGAGCGGGGAGUGCUAGCUUGCUACCUGACCUAGCGGCGGACGGGUGAGUAAUGCUUAGGAAUCUGCCUAUUAGUGGGGGACAACAUUCCGAAAGGAAUGCUAAUACCGCAUACGCCCUACGGGGGAAAGCAGGGGAUCUUCGGACCUUGCGCUAAUAGAUGAGCCUAAGUCAGAUUAGCUAGUUGGUGGGGUAAAGGCCUACCAAGGCGACGAUCUGUAGCGGGUCUGAGAGGAUGAUCCGCCACACUGGGACUGAGACACGGCCCAGACUCCUACGGGAGGCAGCAGUGGGGAAUAUUGGACAAUGGGCGAAAGCCUGAUCCAGCCAUGCCGCGUGUGUGAAGAAGGCCUUUUGGUUGUAAAGCACUUUAAGCGAGGAGGAGGCUACUGAGAUUAAUACUCUUGGAUAGUGGACGUUACUCGCAGAAUAAGCACCGGCUAACUCUGUGCCAGCAGCCGCGGUAAUACAGAGGGUGCGAGCGUUAAUCGGAUUUACUGGGCGUAAAGCGUGCGUAGGCGGCUUUUUAAGUCGGAUGUGAAAUCCCUGAGCUUAACUUA